rnacentral:rRNA from 1 species
UUGAACGCUGGCGGCAUGCCUUACACAUGCAAGUCGAACGGUAACAGGUCUUCGGAUGCUGACGAGUGGCGAACGGGUGAGUAAUACAUCGGAACGUGCCCGAUCGUGGGGGAUAACGGAGCGAAAGCUUUGCUAAUACCGCAUACGAUCUACGGAUGAAAGCAGGGGACCGCAAGGCCUUGCGCGGACGGAGCGGCCGAUGGCAGAUUAGGUAGGUGGUGGGAUAAAAGCUUACCAAGCCGACGAUCUGUAGCUGGUCUGAGAGGACGACCAGCCACACUGGGACUGAGACACGGCCCAGACUCCUACGGGAGGCAGCAGUGGGGAAUUUUGGACAAUGGGCGAAAGCCUGAUCCAGCCAUGCCGCGUGCAGGAUGAAGGCCUUCGGGUUGUAAACUGCUUUUGUACGGAACGAAAAGACUCUUUCUAAUAAAGAGGGUCCAUGACGGUACCGUAAGAAUAAGCACCGGCUAACUACGUG